AUUGAACGCUGGCGGCAUGCCUUACACAUGCAAGUCGAACGGCAGCGGACCUUCGGGUGCCGGCGAGUGGCGAACGGGUGAGUAAUAUAUCGGAACGUACCUUUCAGUGGGGGAUAACGUAGCGAAAGUUACGCUAAUACCGCAUAUUCUGUGAGCAGGAAAGCAGGGGGAUCGCAAGACCUUGCGCUGAUUGAGCGGCCGAUAUCAGAUUAGCUAGUUGGUGAGGUAAAGGCUCACCAAGACGACGAUCUGUAGCGGGUCUGAGAGGAUGGUCAGCCACACUGGGACUGAGACACGGCCCAGACUCCUACGGGAGGCAGCAGUGGGGAAUAUUGGACAAUGGGCGCAAGCCUGAUCCAGCAAUGCCGCGUGUGUGAAGAAGGCCUGCGGGUUGUAAACCGCUUUCAGACGGAAAGAAAUCGCCAGGGCUAAUAUCCCUGGUGGAUGACGGUACCGUCAGAAGAAGCACCGGCUAACUACG
rnacentral:rRNA from 1 species